AUUAGCUACUAUAAAAAACCCUUGCGAUUUAUCGUGCAGUUUUCCAGAGUCGACGCUACAUCAAUAAUACUUCUAAUAAAAAAUCCUGAGCUUCAGUUUUUCAUGGAAACUUCAAUAUGGCAUAUUUAAUUGUGCAGAGUUUUCCUCCAACUGAUAAAAGAGCAUCAUGGAUAUAGACGCACAUAAAGGAAAAUGACAAAUGUAACUAAUAAUACAGUUUCGAAACGUUCUCGAAGUAUCUUUCUUGUUGUAUACAUGGAGUACAGUCGAUUACAAAAUUUACACUCGACUCGAAUUCUUCAUUUUUUGUAUUGCCCCUUCCACCUAACUUUCACGCGACAUUUUUUUCCUCUCUUACUCCCAAGUUCACGUAAUUGGAACAAUUCUACGCGAACUGUCGAAGUCGAAGAACAUGAGAGGAUUCAAUUCCACGUUUGAAGAGAAAGUUUACGAAUGUUUUUUGUUGUUACAAUUGAUAUACGUAAAUAACAUAUGCAUAUGAUCAAUGCUCUAUGCAGCGCUCAUGAACGGAUGAACGCAAUCAAGUUCGCGCAGUCGCGACAAGAUCAAGUUCAAGCAAGCUUUUGUUUAUAAUUAUCGAAUCACUCUUGGAUGUAAUUAGAGUUCGGAGAGCUAGCUGAAAACUCAUUGAAACCCGGAUUCUAAUUUCAGUCAAAACCCAGCUACUCAAACUUCUUUCUGAAUAAUAAAAAAAUUAUUUUCCGUUAUUGGGUUUUAAUUUUCAAAAUCAUAUGAAUUCAUAUACAAGUUCCGGACUAUUAGGCUCGAUUGCUUUUUCUCGAAGAAUCUUGGUGAUCUUGACCAACAGUGACAGUUUGAAAGUUCUUGAAAGCGGCUGAUAUCUGAUAUAUGAGCAGCAGCUCUCCCCGCUAUCUAACUCCAUCACGAAUCACGAAACAUCGAACUUUACACGGAUUUUUUGUUUUUUCUAACUAAAGACAAGCGUCGAUUUUUUAUAUAUAUAUCUAUGACAAAGAGACCGAUAAGCGGUUGGAGUUUUUAAGGAAGUUGAA